rnacentral:rRNA from 1 species
CCUACGGGAGGCAGCAGUGAGGAAUAUUGGUCAAUGGGCGAGAGCCUGAACCAGCCAAGUCGCGUGAGGGAAGACGGUCCUAUGGAUUGUAAACCUCUUUUGCCGGGGAGCAAAAAGCGGUACGUGUACCGCAUCGAGAGUACCCGGAGAAAAAGCAUCGGCUAACUCCGUGCCAGCAGCCGCGGUAAUACGGAGGAUGCGAGCGUUAUCCGGAUUUAUUGGGUUUAAAGGGUGCGUAGGCUGUGAGGUAAGUCAGCGGUGAAAUGCCCCCGCUCAACGGGGUGAAGUGCCAUUGAUACUGCCUUGCUGGAAUGCGGAUGCCGUGGGAGGAAUGUGUGGUGUAGCGGUGAAAUGCAUAGAUAUCACACAGAACACCGAUUGCGAAGGCAUCUCACGAAUCCGCGAUUGACGCUGAUGCACGAAAGCGUGGGUAUCAAACAGGAUUAGAUACCCUUGUAGUC